AUACGGAGGGUGCAAGCGUUAAUCGGAAUUACUGGGCGUAAAGCGCACGCAGGCGGUUUGUUAAGUCAGAUGUGAAAUCCCCGGGCUCAACCUGGGAACUGCAUCUGAUACUGGCAAGCUUGAGUCUCGUCGCGGGGGGUAGAAUUCCAGGGGUAGCGGUGAAAUGCGUAGAGAUCUGGAGGAAUACCGGUGGCGAAGGCGGCCCCCUGGACGAAGACUGACGCUCAGGUGCGAAAGCGUGGGGAGCAAACAGGAUUAGAUACCCUGGUAGUCCACGCCGUAAACGAUGUCGACUUGGAGGUUGUGCCCUUGAGGCGUGGCUUCCGGAGCUAACGCGUUAAGUCGACCGCCUGGGGAGUACGGCCGCAAGGUUAAAACUCAAAUGAAUUGACGGGG
rnacentral:rRNA from 1 species